rnacentral:rRNA from 1 species
GACAGAGGUGCCAAGCGUUAGGCGGAAUCACUGGGCUUAAAGCGUGUGUAGGCGGGUGCCUAAGUACCUUGUGAAAUCCCCCGGCUCAACCGGGGAACGGCUGGGUAUACUGGGUGCCUUGGGUCAUCUAGGGGCUGCCGGAACAAAUGGUGGAGCGGUGAAAUGCGUAGAUAUCAUUUGGAACGCCAACGGCGAAAGCAGGCAGCUGGGGGAUGCACCGACGCUGAGACACGAAAGCCAGGGGAGCGAACGGG